GAGUAAAGAGCACAGUUGGGAGUGUGCAACCUUAAGAAGAAACAGGUCUGCCCUUUUGAAAGAAAGACGUGCGGACGCUGUGGUCCAGGUCCGAGACACGGCCGGGGAGGAAAACCCCAAAAGAGACGAAAGACAAAAAGAAAGAAAACAGGAUUGCACCUUCACCAGUGGGAAUAUGUCCUUCGAUACACAACCAUUCAAUUGAUUCCCAUGCUUCAGGCCAGAUGAUAUGGUGUUUAGACCUGGAUGGCUUGUGGUGACGUCAGACCAGGAAGGAUAAUGGACACAGACAGAACUGGUGUAUGAAAGCGCUGAUGCAUGAGUUUAAUUUACAAAUAAAAGACUUAAACACAAAACAAAACACUAGAACAAACAAAACGGCAUGGUGGCCAUAGACAAACAAAUAAUAACGAAAGCAAUUAUCGUGCUGGUGUUGAACCAGUAUGCGUAGCAAUUGUUUCUUUAUAUUUAACUAGCCAGCAGGAGAGCCACUGGGAAGCCUACCUCCGCCUUCUCGAGGUCUCGAGGGUGCCCUGCCUGCAGGGAGUGUGGGCACUUCCCGGUCAACUGCCCCCUCCAGGAGGAGGGGCUAGAGGAACAGCAGCCGGAGUACCCCGCACUUAGGUCAGUAUUGUCGCUGCCUCCACCGCCUGGGGGAGAAUAGCUGCUCCCACCUCCACUGACAGUAGGCACGUCCACACCAGGGCUUAGAGGAGAACCGCAUCAGUCCCCAGCAACCGAAGGAGCUGCAUCUGUCCCCAGCGACUGAAGGAGAGACACACCAGUCCCCAAUGACCGAAGAGGGAGAACGGCACCAGUUCAUAGUGACAGACUGUCGCGUUGGAAUGUCCAGUUGUGCUUUAAACCAUGUAUUGGAACUAAAUUUCCUGUGCCAUUAGAGGAAAAACAGCCCCAUAAAAGGAUAUUAUCACCUCCAUGCUUGACAGUAGGUAUGGUGUUCUUUUCUUUGUACGCCUCACCAGACUUUCUAUUAUUGUUAAAGGUGCCUCAACUAGCUAUUAAUUUAAUUUUCCUUGUCAGGGUACGAAUACUUUUGAAUUAGCAUUUUUUGGAGUGUUGCAGAACAGUUGCUG